rfam:TPA: Bos taurus chromosome X, whole genome shotgun sequence.
UCCUUGGUAGCUGAGUGUUAUGGAGUCUGCCUGCAAUGCAGAAGACCUGGGUUUGGUCCCUGGUUUGGGAA